rnacentral:rRNA from 1 species
GACGAACGCUGGCGGCGUGCCUAAUACAUGCAAGUCGAGCGAGCGGAACUAACAGAUUUACUUCGGUAAUGACGUUAGGACAGCGAGCGGCGGAUGGGUGAGUAACACGUGGGGAACCUGCCCCAUAGUCUGGGAUACCACUUGGAAACAGGUGCUAAUACCGGAUAAGAAAGCAGAUCGCAUGAUCAGCUUUUAAAAGGCGGCGUAAGCUGUCGCUAUGGGAUGGCCCCGCGGUGCAUUAGCUAGUUGGUAAGGUAAAGGCUUACCAAGGCGAUGAUGCAUAGACGAGUUGAGAGACUGAUCGGCCACAUUGGGACUGAGACACGGCCCAAACUCCUACGGGAGGCAGCAGUAGGGAAUCUUCCACAAAGGACGCAAGUCUGAUGGAGCAACGCCGCGUGAGUGAAGAAGGUGUUCGGAUCGUAAAGCUCUGUUGUUGGUGAAGAAGGAUAGAGGUAGUAACUGGCCUUUAUUUGACGGUAAUCAACCAGAAAGUCACGGCUAACUACGUG